rnacentral:rRNA from 1 species
AACUUCAUGUGGUGGUACACUCGGCUCACGUUUCCAUGAAAGAUGCAGCAAACUGUGUUAACCAAUGUGAAACGCAGACUGCUUCGAUCAUCGGUCUCUCGAACGCAAAUGGCGGCUUUGGGCUUGCCCUUAGCCACGUUUGAUCGAGUGUCGGCUU